rnacentral:rRNA from 2 species
ACCUGAAAUCAAGCAAGAUCACCCGCUGAACUUAAGCAUAUCAGUAAGCGGAGGAAAAGAAACUAACAAGGAUUGCCUUAGUAGUGGCGAAUGAACCGGCAAUAGCUCAAAGUGUAAAUCUGAGGCAUCAAGUCUUAGAAUUGUAAUCUAUAGGCCUUUUAGGGAAGCCACGGUUCUAGCAUAAGUUCCCUGAAAAGGGAUGCCAAAGAGGGUAAAAGCCCCGUAUUUGGUUAGGACUGGGUGUACCGAAGGGUUCCAAGAGUCGGGUUGUUUGGGAUUGCAGCCUAAAAUGGGAGAUAAACUUCUUCUAAAGCUAAAUAUUUAUGGGAAACCGAUAGCAAACAAGUACUACGAAGGAAAGAUGAAAAGAACUUUGAAAAGAGGGUUAAAAGACUUGAAAUCGUUGAGGAGAAAAGCGGUAGAAGAGAAAUGAUUUCAUUCAGGAGUAUGUAUUUUUGUUGGCGUCUUCUGCGGUAAUGGUACUUCAUAGGGCCUAGCUGUAGACCGGCGUCGCAUUGGUGCUUUUUCUGGGUGAAGUGCAAAAUGAGGUCUCGCUUGCGGAAACGUCUCUAGGGAGGACUCUGGCCUUGACGCUGGAAGCCCUGGUCUCCAA